rnacentral:tRNA from 5 species
GGGCGAUUAGCUCAGUUGGUUCAGAGCAGCUGCCUUACAAGCAGCGGGUCAGCGGUUCGAAUCCGUUAUCGCCCA